CAAAGUCGGAACUAAGAUUAUCUCUUCUUUCAGUGCUACCUAGUAAGACUCACACGAUCCAUAUUUGAGGACCCUGUUAUUCUGGUUCCCAAAAGAGUUUGUGGGCCCACGGGUGCUGUCCCUCACUAGGGAGCCUUCACGCCCAGUGGCUGCUCACCGACUUCUGACAAUACAAGGGCAGAUGAAUUCACCCAGGCAAAUCGAAAGAUACAAAAUCACCAAACCCACAUUCUCAUCCUCUUCCUAGGAGUCUGUAUCUUUUCACCAAAACAUUACAGCAAUUUGACUAAGAUGAAUUUUCAGCAAUUCUGGUUCCUGUAAACGGGGUUGUGUGUGAAAGUAUAGCUCUUGCCAUGUAGCUUGGUGUGCUAAUGAUGUAUAGUGUUGUCUAGCUGGGGAGUAUUUGGGUAACACUCAUUUGCAAGGGUCACGGCAUCUGCUCUGGAUGGAGGCGCACAUUGACUGCUAAUUGCCAGCGAACUGCAUGAAAUCUCAUCUCGGAUGUCCUCUUUUCUGUGUUUUCUUUCCUUUCCUGCACGGCUACUUUGCCCGUUGUUAAUAGGACGGACUUCUAUGCACGAGGAGUCCAUGACGUCAGCUCCCACCUUCAUUUUACUGCAAGUUGUCAUGUGGUGUGGAUGGUUGCACGUUACUGUAUCUGGAGGGAAAAGUACCUGGAGAAAGAGAAGAGCCGAGUGCAAAGGCCCUGAGGAGGAUUAUUCCGACUGUGGUGGUGUUUCUGGAUUAAGAUCCUCCCUGUGGUCUGUUCUCGGACUCCAGUUUCUACUCCUCUGGCUUGUAUCUGGCAGCAGACACUACCUAUUGUGACCUUCUGAAACCAAAACCACGGAAUUAAACUCCAGACCCUGCCAAAACAGGAGUCUGAGAUGACAUUAAAGUAGGGACACGCGUGGAGUCAGCCAAACACGAGCUGCGCCUGUCCCAUGGCAUCUCUGAGACACAGAACCUGGGGCCCCCAGUGGCUGCAUGUCGGGGGUCUACCCUCAGCCUCAUGUGAACGCUGCACCAUGGUAUAGAACAUCCAAGCAGAGACUCUGUGUGCUCCGCUGGGUAACAGGAGUUGUUGCAUUGCUGGUGAGCAUGUGUCAGAGGGCUCCCCACACGACUGUUUGUCAUAGGGGACGUCUUGAUUUUGGCCUAAAAUUUCAACUUGCUGCAGAUUUACCAAGAAAAUCUGUAAGUGGGGGAAAGGGAUAGUUAUUUUUGCCUUCAUUUAUUCUUCUGUUAAACGUUAAAUCCUGCUUUGAGUAGUUCCCUGACUGUAGAGGAAUGGAGAAAGAAGGAAAGGGAAUUCACAGUGCUCUGAGCUGCUGAAAUAUGAAUAAUGGCUAAUUUUCUACAAAACUUUUGCCGGAAUAAAAUGCCUUAUGCAGAAUGACUUCUCUGCCAGAAAUAAAACACAAUUGAUGACCAAUUAAAUGGGGUAGUGAAUUGAUAGUUUGAAAAUAAUAGCUAAGAAAUUAUUAAACUAAAGAUGCUUGAGGGUGAAAUUUGAAUACGUGACAUAUUUUCUCAUAAAUGUAAGCCCUAUAAAGCUCUGAUGUAAUGUUCCUUCUUUUGGUUCACAGUACGGUUAUGCAGUGCUAGCCAGGUAUUUAAAAAGCUCUAAGAGAAGCUUGUUGGGGGGAGGGAAAGUGUUUUUCUCGUGAUAAAUGAACUUGGGUCACCAAGGGUAUUUUGCAUGAUGCUCCUGCUGCUAUUUUAACUUUUUGGUUUGUUUUUCUCUUAUUGUUGAGUGUAGUCUAUUGAAAAGUUACCCAAGUGACAUUAUUGUCAUGUAAGAAUAUGAAACUUGCAGUUAAAUGCACUUAAGUUAUCUUUAGAAAUGUCAUUAAACUACUCUGAAUAUACUGUGCAAUGUAAAUGCGGAAUGAGAGGGUUAGGUAAUGGCAAAAUGAGAAUUAAUGGAUUUUAUACAGAUUCGUGCUUCUGCCUGAAAACCCAUGUACAGAUAUUUUAAGUACAUAAAUCAGAUUUAACACAUUUAUUUUUUGAAAAGUACAUAUAUGUUCUCAGUGAAGCUACACCCUAGGUUCCCUGUUUGUUCAUUUCACAGGAGGGUGGACGAUCCCGGCUCUACUUUUUUCCUCCAUUUUCGAUGCUGUGAUCAUUUGGCCAAAAUCCCAUGACAUUUGAUGAGGGUUUUGUAACAAUCUGAACAAAUAGGAAACCUUGAAUCUCUACAAAUGCACAUGAACACUUGAUUGUGAAUAAUGACAUUUGUUUUUAUACAGCCUCAUUAGUGAAAAUGGUUAGUGUAGUAAAUCAGAUAUUUCAUUAUAGAUUAAUAUGGUAUCAAAAUAUUAUUUAUGCUUUUAAACAUUAUUUCCAGGAAAAAACAGUGUUUGAAGAAAGGGCGAAAACAAUGAAUGGGUAACUCUAGGAAAAGUGCAUAAUUUUACGAAGGCUGAAAGUAUGCAGAUAUAUUUAUGAUAAAAUGCAUUUUUCUUUAUUCAAACAUGCCAAAUUUUGGUGUGUGCAUAUGCUGGGAAAUUUCUUAUAUAUAAUUUUAACAUCAAAGUUAUUUACAUUACCCAGCAUGCUUUCAUAUCUUCUACAUAUCAAAAUCAUAGCCAAUUCUUUAGCAAUGUUGAAGAUACAUUUUUUUUUGUUUUUAGUUUUGCAUAUGUUUAUAAUCCCCUCGUACCACCACUGUAUCCCAAGUACCAUGUGUGAACACUUCCUUAAUAAGAUUUUUUUAAUUUAAAAUGGGGGAAGGGAGAAGUGGAAUCACUUUGCCAACUAUUGUUCUAAGAGUUGACAUCAGUUACCAUUUCUAAUGCAUUGUAAUUUUCUAGUCUACUCAUAACUUGUAUUGAUGUUUUAGAAAAC
rnacentral:lncRNA from 1 species